rnacentral:rRNA from 1 species
UACGAAGGGGGCUAGCGUUGUUCGGAUUCACUGGGCGUAAAGGGUGCGUAGGUGGUUAGGUAAGUCCGAUGUGAAAUCUCCAGGCUCAACCUGGAAAUGGCAUUGGAUACUAUCUAGCUUGAGGAGUGGAGGGGGGGACUGGAAUUCUCGGUGUAGCAGUGAAAUGCGUAGAUAUCGAGAGGAACACCAGUGGCGAAGGCGAGUCCCUGGACACUUCCUGACACUGAGGCACGAAAGCUAGGGGAGCAAACAGG